AACGAACGCUGGCGGCAUGCCUAACACAUGCAAGUCGAACGAUACCUUCGGAUCUAGUUGCUCACGGUUGCGUAACGAGUGGGAACCUGCCCUUAGGUUCGCUAUCACGCCCCGGAAGGGGUCCUAAUAACGGGAAAUCUCUUCGCACCAAACAUUGAUCGGUUCUGGACAGGGCCGUGUUAGAUUAGCUAGUUGGUAGAGUAGAAGACUAGCAAGGCUAUGAUCUAUAGCUGGUCUGAGAGGAUGAUCAGCGACACUGGGAGUGAGACACGGCCCAGACUCUUAGGGAAGGACGCAGGGGGGAAUAUGGGACAACGGGCGAGAGAAGAAGCUAGCCAGGUCGCGUGAGUGAUGAAGGAGUUAGGGUUGUAAAGCUGUUUUAAACGGUAUGAUAAUGACAGUACCGGGAGAAUAAGCGCCGGCUAACUCCGUG
rnacentral:rRNA from 1 species